AGAGUUUGAUCCUGGCUCAGGAUGAACGCUAGCUACAGGCUUAACACAUGCAAGUCGAGGGGCAGCAUGGUCUUAGCUUGCUAAGGCCGAUGGCGACCGGCGCACGGGUGAGUAACACGUAUCCAACCUGCCGUCUACUCUUGGACAGCCUUCUGAAAGGAAGAUUAAUACAAGAUGGCAUCAUGAGUCCACAUGUUCACAUGAUUAAAGGUAUUCCGGUAGACGAUGGGGAUGCGUUCCAUUAGAUAGUAGGCGGGGUAACGGCCCACCUAGUCUUCGAUGGAUAGGGGUUCUGAGAGGAAGGUCCCCCACAUUGGAACUGAGACACGGUCCAAACUCCUACGGGAGGCAGCAGUGAGGAAUAUUGGUCAAUGGACGAGAGUCUGAACCAGCCAAGUAGCGUGAAGGAUGAAGGUUCUAUGGAUUGUAAACUUCUUUUAUACGGGAAUAAACGGAUCCACGUGUGGAUUUUUGCAUGUACCGUAUGAAUAAGGAUCGGCUAACUCCGUGCCAGCAGCCGCGGUAAUACGGAGGAUCCGAGCGUUAUCCGGAUUUAUUGGGUUUAAAGGGAGCGUAGAUGGGUUGUUAAGUCAGUUGUGAAAGUUUGCGGCUCAACCGUAAAAUUGCAAUUGAUACUGGCAGUCUUGAGUACAGUUGAGGUAGGCGGAAUUCGUGGUGUAGCGGUGAAAUGCUUAGACAUCACGAAGAACUCCGAUUGCGAAGGCAGCUUACUAACCUGUAACUGACAUUGAUGCUCGAAAGUGUGGGUAUCAAACAGGAUUAGAUACCCUGGUAGUCCACACGGUAAACGAUGAAUACUCGCUGUAGGCGAUAUACAGUCUGCGGCCAAGCGAAAGCAUUAAGUAUUCCACCUGGGGAGUACGCCGGCAACGGUGAAACUCAAAGGAAUUGACGGGGGCCCGCACAAGCGGAGGAACAUGUGGUUUAAUUCGAUGAUACGCGAGGAACCUUACCCGGGCUUAAAUUGCAACCGAAUAUGGCGGAAACGCUAUAGCUAGCAAUAGCGGUUGUGAAGGUGCUGCAUGGUUGUCGUCAGCUCGUGCCGUGAGGUGUCGGCUUAAGUGCCAUAACGAGCGCAACCCCUAUUGUAUGUUGCUACCAUUAAGUUGAGCACUCAUGCGAUACUGCCUGCGAUGAGCAGGAGGAAGGUGGGGAUGACGUCAAGUCAUCAUGCCCCUUAUACGCUGGGCUACACACGUGCUACAAUGGGCAGUACAGAGAGUUGCCAACCCGCGAGGGUGAGCUAAUCUCUUAAAGCUGUUCUUAGUUCGGAUUGUACUCUGCAACUCGAGUACAUGAAGUUGGAAUCGCUAGUAAUCGCAAAUCAGCAUGUUGCGGUGAAUACGUUCUCGGGUCUUGCACACACCGCCCGUCAAG
rnacentral:rRNA from 1 species